UACAGAGGUCUCAAGCGUUGUUCGGAUUCAUUGGGCGUAAAGGGUGCGUAGGUGGUGAUGCAAGUCUGGUGUGAAAUCUCGGAGCUCAACUCCGAAAUUGCACCGGAUACUGCGUGACUCGAGGACUGUAGAGGAGAUCGGAAUUCACGGUGUAGCAGUGAAAUGCGCAGAUAUCAGGAGGAACACCGGUGGCGAAGGCGGGUCUCUGG
rnacentral:rRNA from 1 species